rnacentral:lncRNA from 7 species
CCACUGGAGAUUCUUGUCUGAGGCCUUUUGAAGGGCAGCCAUUCAACAAAUUCUGUUCAAGAAACUAGGAAGGCUGACCUUCUUCUGGGGAGUCUCUUUUCCACUGUCAGGUCAGAGUAUGAUCAUUCUCUUGCAACACAAUAAUGCCAGCUCCAUAUCAUUUUGAAGACAAUGGAGCAUGUUGCCAGUCUUGUCUGGACUGUCGUGCUACAUCCACAGUAUUGUCUGGAUCUGGUGAUUUCUGACUUCCAUCUGUUUAAGCAAAUGAAAGACUGUAUUGGCCAUUUACUAACAAUGAUGACAUAAUAGCAGCUGUUAAACACUGGGUCACCUCUACUGGUGCAGACUUCUAUGAGCAUGGCAUGCAGGCUCUAGUUCAUUACUAGUGAAAAUGCACGGCUAACGAUGGUGACUAUGCUGAAUAACUGCUUUGUAGUUGAGAAUAUGCUCUAUCAAAUAGUAUUAUUGUGCUCUUUGUAUCUGUUGUAGUUUCCAUGAAAAUAAAUAGGAGACAUUAUUUCCAGAGCAACCUACAUACUGUAAAUUGCAGCUACAUGUCCAAAUGUGUAUUUGCCUUCAGGCAAAACAUAUGGUAGAUGCUGAAGUUCACAAUAUCUAACUCUUACCAAUGAAUGUUCCUCUUCUUCUGAUAGGUGAUCAGAUAUUGGAGAUAUUAAGUUACGAAUGGGUGUUUUAUAUGUCUAUAUGUGUAAAGUUGACUUGAAAAUGUGUGUAUAUAUGUGUGUAUUAGUUGGUUUAUUUGCACAGGGUUCUGAUCCUUACUCUUGCAAGCUUUUUGUUUUCUGCAUUUAACCUUGUAGAAUAUCUUCACUAGAAAAUAGGUACUGAAACAUGAUAAACUUAGGUCUUCAAAUCUGGAAUUUCACAGUUAUUUGAUCACAAUAUCUUGCUAGAGAUUGAAUGUUUUCACCUCUGCUGUUCAAUCACUACAGGUGAUUGUACAAAGGUAAUAAGAGAUCUGCUGGUCCAAGUAGAAAAGUAAUGUCAGUUAGAAUAUAAACAUGUUUUAGAAGAACUUAGUAAAAACUUUUCUGUGGCUUGUAAAAUCUCCCAAAUAUGCUUAUGAAAAGCUUGUGGGUUUCUGUGCCCUCGUUUAUUAUGAGGAUGUAUAUACAUAUAUAAAAAUUGUUAGUUGUCUU